rnacentral:rRNA from 1 species
AUACAAAGGGUGCAAGCGUUAAUCGGAAUUACUGGGCGUAAAGCGCGCGUAGGUGGUUAGUUAAGUUGGAUGUGAAAGCCCUGGGCUCAACCUGGGAAUGGCAUUCAAAACUGGCUGACUAGAGUAUGGUAGAGGGAAGGGGAAUUCCAGGUGUAGCGGUGAAAUGCGUAGAUAUCUGGAGGAACAUCAGUGGCGAAGGCGCCUUCCUGGACUAAUACUGACACUGAGGUGCGAAAGCGUGGGUAGCAAACAGGAGUAGAAACCCUAGUAGUCC